UACGUAGGCAGCGAGCGUUGUUCGGAAUUACUGGGCGUAAAGAGUGUGUAGGCGGUGCUCUAAGUUCGGUGUGAAAUCUCCUGGCUCAACUGGGAGGGUGCGCCGGAAACUGGAGUGCUUGAGCGUGGGAGAGGAAAGCGGAAUUCCUGGUGUAGCGGUGAAAUGCGUAGAUAUCAGGAGGAACACCGGUGGUGUAAACGGCUUUCUGGACCAUAACUGACACUGAGGCACGAAAGCGUGGGUAGCAAACAGG
rnacentral:rRNA from 1 species